rnacentral:rRNA from 1 species
GACGAACGCUGGCGGCGUGCUUAACACAUGCAAGUCGAACGGAAAGGCCCUGCUUUUGUGGGGUGCUCGAGUGGCGAACGGGUGAGUAACACGUGAGUAACCUGCCCUUGACUUUGGGAUAACUUCAGGAAACUGGGGCUAAUACCGGAUAGGAGCUCCUGCUGCAUGGUGGGGGUUGGAAAGUUUCGGCGGUUGGGGAUGGACUCGCGGCUUAUCAGCUUGUUGGUGGGGUAGUGGCUUACCAAGGCUUUGACGGGUAGCCGGCCUGAGAGGGGGACCGGCCACAUUGGGACUGAGAUACGGCCCAGACUCCUACGGGAGGCAGCAGUGGGGAAUAUUGCACAAUGGGCGGAAGCCUGAUGCAGCAACGCCGCGUGCGGGAUGACGGCCUUCGUGUUGUAAACCGCUUUCGCCUGUGACGAAGCGUGAGUGACGGUAAUGGGUAAAGAAGCACCGGCUAACUACGUG